GCCAUAAGAGAAAGAACAUAAGAAGGUCUCCAUGUUAUGAUAUUUUGGUAUGCACGCUGGAGUAGAACAAGUUCUAUGAGUCAAAAACUAAUCACAAUAGAUUUUUAGUAACUAAAGUAAAACUUCGAUAUUCUACUUAACAAAAUGUUCACUGUGUUUGUCUAACCAAAGAGUAAAUAAUUUAUAAUCAUUCAAGAUGUAUGCCUCUUAGAAUGGGGUCAUUGGGACUACUAAUGGCAAGGAGUUUCUUCCUUUCCCCUCAGAUCUCAUGCAAGUCCAAGUAAACUCCCUUAAUUUUCAAAACAGGAGUCAUUUUGAAAUACUGAAAGAGGAAGCAAAACAAAAAUACGACGGUGAACAAACUAGACAAUAAGUUUCUUUCCUAAUAAAUAUUAAGCCUCAGUUCCUUUCCUAAUCAAUAUUAAGCCUCCAAUAAUGAAGCCAUAUGUCACCAAUGCUUACAUAGAGUGAAAGGAAACUCAACAUUUUACACAUACUUCUAGCAGAAAAGACAUAACAGAUUUUGCCCAACCACAAAGUUUUUGUAAAUAACAGUUCUAAACAUUACAUUUAAACUCAGUUGAUUCGGAUUAUUGCCUAGAGAAAGUGCUUUUUCCUUUCUCCCCAUAUGUCAUGAACUCAUGAUAGGUCUACCCUCUUUUCAAAUGGAGAAUGAUGUUCAAACAGAUGACAAAAAUGGUAACCAAGACACAUACAUAACAUCCAAGAAAUAAAUUACAAGAGCAUUGAAAGUCAAAGAAAUAAACCACUGGAACAAGAAUGUAGAUCAUUUCAUUAAUAAUUCAUUAAUGAUGGAAGAACGA
rnacentral:misc_RNA from 1 species